rnacentral:misc_RNA from 1 species
AACGCAUAUUGCGCUCUCUGGUAUUCCGGAGAGCAUGCUUGUUUGAGUAUCAGUAAACACCUCAAACCCCAAUGGAUGUUUUUAAAACAAUCAUUUGGAGUUUGGAUUUGAGGGAUCCCAACACAUUAUUAAUGUGGCGGGUCACUUGAAAUGCAGGUGCAGCUGGACUUUUAUCUGAGCUAAAGGCAUAUUUAUUUAAUCCCGUCAAAGGAUUAUUACUUUUUGCUUCAGCUAUCUUAAGGAUGAAAUGUUUCCAACAUGCUGACUGAUGCAGGAAUUCUACAGUGAAACUCGUAAAAAAAGUGAAUCUGUAUUUCUCGAUCUCAAAUCAAGUAAGACUACCCGCUGAACUUAA